UUCUUUCGGCUUUUGCUUUAAAAUGGCUUUAAUGCCGAGAAGUGCGCUUUGUUUAUGUUUAGCAGGCCUUCCUUUAGAUCUCAGAAGAACCUGCGUGGCUCGCUUGACACCUGUCCAACCAAGCUGGCUAGGCUAGAGCAGGACGCCAGGGCCAGGUUCGGGUUCAACGAUUUAUUUUUCUCAGCCUUGAGCGGAGUUUCUCAACCGUGGCAACUUUAAGAAGUACGCUGGCUGAGGAAUUCUGGGAGUUGAAGUCCACACUUCUUAAAGUUGUCAAGGUUGAGAAACACUGGCCUUGAGUGAGUGGGUGGCACAGAUCAGCAUUUGUGGGCCUGGUGGUGAAGACCACAGCCUAGGAAAGACGGGGACUUGGAAGAGGAGAAAAUGAUAAAAAGGAAAGAAAAGAAAGAAAAAUAGCUGUUCUGGGUGCCUAGGAAACAGAGAGAGAGAGGACAGAUGGAAUUGAUUUGAGCCAAGUGGGUCUGAUGCCGUGGGGAGGAACUGAUGAAUGCACACAGGGAAGUGAAGGUGAAGGUUUGAUUAUGAGCAAAAGGGCUAAAAUGUAUGUCAGGAAGAAGGAGUUGGUGCCAUCUGGGAGGCUGUGGGUAGGUAGCAAAGCAGGAAUCCAUGGGUUGGUGAUAGUUGCGUGUUACACUCAAGCAGGUGGUGACAAGGGAUGAGUUUGGAAGGGAGCUGUGGAAUGUUCUGAAUGAAUGAGAUUCCGGGGGAAAACUCUCCUGGUUCGUGACGUGGAUGGCUGGGCGGGAAGGAGGCAAGAGAAUACAGAAAAGGCGACUGAGCCAUUCGAAGGCCCAAGAGUUCAUGAGAAGGCUGUUUGAUGAACAUCCACGCCGAAAAAGUGUCAUCAACGGAUCUUGGGAAGAAAAGGGAAGAAGUGAAAGAAAUGAACGUGAACAGGAUUGAAAAAGAAAUAGACCAAGAAAUCCAUAAAUAAAUAUUGUAUCCCAUGGAUGGAUGGAGAGAAAAAGACCAUUACAGUACAAGAAACGGUCAAGACUAAAAGAGGUGGAGGAAAACACAAUUUGGAUGGAAAUAAAAAGAACCAUUUUGGGAGUCAAGGAAGACAGGGAUGCUAGUGACAUGCUGAUGAGCAGUGCUGAAAUGAAGGCCGCAGCUGCUAGGAUCCAAGAAAGAAUGAUGAAAAGGAGGUCAUCAAUGCUGUCCGAAUAUCCGGAGGACCAAGUGUGUCCCUGUUCUCCUCCACAAGACUGGGAAGGUAGCAAGCCUGAAUGCGAAAGUUAGGGGGGUAUUUCUUUCUUAAAUGUGUCUGGGAAGGUGUUUGCUUUUGCUGUUCAGGCAGUUACUGAGAAAUACAUGAACAUAAGGUUUAUUGUACAUCUGUGGAUUUAAAGAAAAUGUAAGAUAACAUGAAUUGGCUGCUGAACACAACUGAAUAAAAUCUUGUGUGAGGAUAUAUGGAAUACUUAACUAAUUUUAUGGUACUGAACAGGAAGAAGGACUAGCGGGGUGUGAUGCCUCCUUUGUUGUUUAAUGGAUUUAGGGAUAUAUUGUUGAUGUUAGAGUUGUACUGGUUGGGAAUGUAAAUAUAUGUGUAAAUUAUAUAUAAAUUAUACCAUGUUGUUGGCCGAGAACCUAAAGCACAGCUGGAAUACUGGGUCCAGUUUUGGCCACUGCGAUACAAGAAGGAUGCUAAGCAAUUGGAAAUCAGGCAGAGAAAUGGGGCUGUGAGGGGCUUUGGCAUACUGUUUCUACCUUAUUUUCUAUAUAAUCUCAGAAACCAGUGAAUAAAC